UGGGGAAUAUUGCACAAUGGGCGCAAGCCUGAUGCAGCCAUGCCGCGUGUAUGAAGAAGGCCUUCGGGUUGUAAAGUACUUUCAGUCGGGAGGAAGGUGUCAAGGUUAAUAACCUUGGCAAUUGACGUUACCGACAGAAGAAGCACCGGCUAACUCCGUGCCAGCAGCCGCGGUAAUACGGAGGGUGCAAGCGUUAAUCGGAAUUACUGGGCGUAAAGCGCACGCAGGCGGUUGAUUGAGUCAGAUGUGAAAUCCCCGGGCUUAACCCGGGGAUUGCAUCUGAUACUGGUCAGCUAGAGUCUUGUAGAGGGGGGUAGAAUUCCAUGUGUAGCGGUGAAAUGCGUAGAGAUGUGGAGGAAUACCGGUGGCGAAGGCGGCCCCCUGGACAAAGACUGACGCUCAGGUGCGAAAGCGUGGGGAGCAAACAGG
rnacentral:rRNA from 1 species